UACAACUUGCUUCAUGAGAUUUUAUUCCUACUAUGCAAUUUGAUUUUCAAAUAUGAUAUAAUAGAUUAUCCCUGAAGUGAUUCAUCCCAACAAUGGGCAGGUUUUAUUUUCUUUGAAUAAACCUACGAUUAUUGAAUUCUUCUACUAAUAAUUAUCCUUGCACCUUAAACUUGUAUGCAAGUCGACCUACAAUAUUGGUUGCGAAAUUUCGAAAGCUUUUCCAACACUAUUUUCGCCCGAGUUGAUCUGUCAGUGGAAGUUUGUUUUGCUUUGUAUUUUCUAGCUUAAAUCGCGGCAGCUGAACGAGAAUCAGUUUUCAGUUUGCUGUUAGGAAGUGACGAUCUUUGCCUACCGAAUUCCAGUUGAUUCAGGGAAGGAACCUCCUGACGCGGUCAGUCCAACAAAGAUGGGACGAUUCAUUUCAGUGAUCGCGACGGAAUCCGGUGAUGAUAGAGUGAACCGGCUAAUAUAUUCGAUGUUAUGACGACUUUUUGUUAACGAAGUUUUUAUUGGAAUAAAUAGAAUGGGAUGACAACCG